rfam:Mycobacterium tuberculosis H37Rv complete genome.
UUUGAUCGACCCCAGCCACAACGGCCGAUCGGCCGGCCGCUGUCCAUACGUCGCCAAAAUCGCCUGCGCCUC